AGGAAAGGGAGUGUCUCUUGCCGUGCAUGUGGUCUACCUCAGAUCCCAGUACGGCUGCUGUCAUCUACCAACACAACCCACAAAAGGAUCCGCAUAGACU